rnacentral:rRNA from 1 species
AAAACUUUCAACAACGGAUCUCUUGGUUCUGGCAUCGAUGAAGAACGCAGCGAAAUGCGAUAAGUAAUGUGAAUUGCAGAAUUCAGUGAAUCAUCGAAUCUUUGAACGCACAUUGCGCCCGCUGGAAUUCCGGCGGGCAUGCCUGUUCGAGCGUCAUUUCAACCCUCAAGC